rnacentral:rRNA from 1 species
GAGUUUGAUCCUGGCUCAGGAUGAACGCUGGCGGCGUGCCUAAUACAUGCAAGUCGAGCGAACGGACGAGAAGCUUGCUUCUCUGAUGUUAGCGGCGGACGGGUGAGUAACACGUGGAUAACCUACCUAUAAGACUGGGAUAACUUCGGGAAACCGGAGCUAAUACCGGAUGAUAUUUUGAACCGCAUGGUUCAAAAGUGAAAGACGGUCUUGCUGUCACUUAUAGAUGGAUCCGCGCUGCAUUAGCUAGUUGGUAAGGUAACGGCUUACCAAGGCAACGAUGCAUAGCCGACCUGAGAGGGUGAUCGGCCACACUGGAACUGAGACACGGUCCAGACUCCUACGGGAGGCAGCAGUAGGGAAUCUUCCGCAAUGGGCGAAAGCCUGACGGAGCAACGCCGCGUGAGUGAUGAAGGUCUUCGGAUCGUAAAACUCUGUUAUUAGGGAGAACAUAUGUGUAAGUAACUGUGCACAUCUUGACGGUACCUAAUCAGAAAGCCACGGCUAACUAC